rnacentral:tRNA from 1 species
GGGGCUAUAGCUCAGCUGGGAGAGCGCUUGCAUGGCGUGCAAGAUGUCAGCGGUUCGAUCCCGCUUAGCUCCACCA